CGGCAGUGUACUGCUGCUGGCUGU
rnacentral:miRNA from 1 species